UGGGGAAUUUUGGACAAUGGGCGCAAGCCUGACCCAGCAAUGCCGCGUGAGUGAAGAAGGCCUUCGGGUUGUAAACCUCUUUUGUCCGGGACGAAACGGUUCUUUCUAAUAUCUCUUGCCAAUGACGGUACCUUAAGAAUAAGCACCGGCUAACUACGUGCCAGCAGCCGCGGUAAUACGUAGGGUCCAAGCGUUAAUCGGAAUUACUGGGCGUAAAGCGUGCGCAGGCGGUUUUGUAAGUCUGAUGUGAAAUCCCCUGGCUCAACCUGGGAAUUGCAAUGGAGACUGUAAGGCUAGAAUUAGGAAGAAGGAAGUAGAAUACCACGUGUAGCAGUGAAAUGCGUAGAUAUGUGGUGGAACACCGAUGGCGAAGGCAGCUUACUGGGUCAAGAUUGACGCUGAUGCACGAAAGCGUGGGGAGCAAACA
rnacentral:rRNA from 1 species